CCCUUAGAUGUCCUGGGCCGCACGCGCGCUACACUGAUGCAUUCAACGAGUAUUUCCUUGGCCGAGAGGCCUGGGCAAUCUUUUAAACCUGCAUCGUGAUAGGGAUAGAUUAUUGCAAUUAUUAAUCUUGAACGAGGAAUUCCUAGUAAACGCAAAUCAUCAAUUUGCAUUGAUUACGUCCCUGCCCUUUGUACACACCGCCCGUCGCACCUACCGAUUGAAUGGUCCGGUGAAAUCUCGGGAUUGUGGCCAGUUCACUUUAUUGGGAGUUGGCUGCGAGAACUUGCUCAAACCUUAUCAUUUAGAGGAAGGUGAAGUCGUAACA
rnacentral:rRNA from 1 species